rnacentral:tRNA from 1 species
GGUCCUGUGGUCUAGUGGUAUGAUUCUCGCUUUGGGUUAUCGCCUGAUCUGCGAGAGGCCCCGUGUUCGAACCACGGCAGGACCC